ACUUAUAAGGGAUGCAAAUAACACGGCUUUCUUUAAUUAAUUUUCCCCAAUUUCAAUUUCAUAACUUUCUCUCUCUCUAUGAUGGAAGCUCUCAAUGUGCCUUAGCUCUCUCUCGCACUCACCCAUGGUCGUCACAGGUGAUUUCAUUGCAAAUUAGGUGAUUUCAUCGGUGUCUUGUGAGAAUACAAGCGUAUCAAUGGCAUCACUGACGGAACUUUCUUUCCACUGGACUGGUUUCAUUAGUGCGAUGAUUUCAAAUAUUGCAUUCACUUACAGGAGUAUCUAUUCAAAGAAGCAAUGGUAAUGUCUUUCACAUGUAAUUAUUCUUAGUAUUCUAAAUUGUGGUUUUAAUUUUAUGGAAUGGAAGAGUGUGGAAGAACACAAUUAAGGUCCCCUGCUUGACCUUUAAUAAUGCUUGAUUAUCUCUUAUGUUGCUUUUGACUUUUCUAAAUGCAAGAAGUAAUGGUGUUGAACACUUGACACGCGUAAGACUUAAAAGAGUACAGGAUUUGUGUCCAAUGUGCCUAGUUGGACAUGCACCCAGUAUCUCUUGCUUAGUCUAUUAGGUAAGUUUUAUAACACUAAACUUUACUGACUAAUAUCUUUUUAUAUUGUGAGUGACAAUGUUAAUAUCAAUUUGGUAUAAAUAUAAAAUUGUGGAAAGGUUCUUUCUUUGAAUAAUGGUUAAUAAGAUUGUGACAGGAUACUUCUCUUACUCUUCCCUAAACCAAAGCAUACAUGAUUAGUCAAAACUGUAAGCUUAUAUAGACUAACAACACUAACUAAUAUAAGCAUGGAUCAAGUUCAUAAUCCUAUGUUGAACAAACUUUUAACUUCAAGAAGUGCUUGUGGUAACUUAUUUUCAAAUCUCUAAUUUAGCAUCUCAGGCCAUGUCAGGUUCUAUAACAAACCUAAUAUUCAGUCAUAAUCCUAUGUUCUCUAUAUACAGUGUGCCUGCAAGUUUGUGUGUGUAGGCUAGACCUUAGUACAUGGAGAUAAAAUAAAGGACAAUUAAAUUAACAGUGAUGGUGUACUCUAUAUGUGACUAAUUGGUUUUAAAUCAAAAUUAAAAUAUAGGAUAUAUACAUGGGGUUGAUGAUUGAUCUAUGCCAUAGGUUUGAUCCAAAUAAAAAAUGAAAAUAGUGUGAUAAGAGUGUAAGCUAUCUUCUUUGAUGAUAUCAAUGCACAUGAAAACAUUUUGAACUUCCAUGAAGUACAUAACUUUCUCCCAAUUUUUGAGGUCUUCUAUGAUGGUUGUUUGUCUCUUCUUCAGUGAUCUUGGAAAUGCAGCAUUAUCUGGCCAAUUUUUGGUCCCUCAGCUUGGCCAGCUCAAGAAUUUACAGUACCUGGGAUCACUACCUAAAACCAUUUGUAAUACCGAAACUAGAAGUCAGAGUGAGCAGAAGAACUAGUGCAGAUGAACCUCUAUUUUUCUAGAAAUAGAGAUUUGGAUGUUAGCAUGGUUCUAUAUUGAGAAAUGCUAUAUCUCAACUGAUAGUUAUAUGAGAAUAAAUUAUACAUAUUUAAACCAUGGGUUCUUAUUUAGAUAUCAACACUACACAGCUCUCCAAAUAAUCAUAGUGCACCUGAUAGCUUAUAAUCAUUGAAUUAUUUAUUUGAAGGUGAAAAUUGCUUGCCCGGUUCUCAAAUAGGUACAAGUCAUCCAAAGAACAAGGGAGGAACAGAGCCAUUAUUUCAUCUUACUGGCGCACAUUUUUAUCGAGCCUAAGUACUACUUAUCAUUGGUUGAUGCUGGAGCCUCAGAAGCUUAUGCGCUUUCUUUCAUUUUUCUGAUGUUCACUCAUUGCUGCAAUCAUUGGAUGCGUUGUUUUGUAUACUGGACAAGGGAAGUUCCAUACUAGCACAUCGAAUACAUUGGACCAUGUCGUGUGGCAAGCUAACACCAUUGUUGAGAGUCUUGGGAGUGUAUUGGAUUAUCUUGAAGCAGCUAAGCAUAUCAGAGUGGAUCAACUUUUUUUACCUCCUGAUGUUCAAAACAACAUCAACAAGGUUGAAACUGACAUUAAUAUUGCUGCUCCAUGGGGUCAUCAAUUGGACUAGUUAAGUGAAUGCAGCCGGCUAUCAGAA